rnacentral:rRNA from 1 species
CCAGACUCCUACGGGAGGCAGCAGUGGGGAAUAUUGCACAAUGGGGGAAACCCUGAUGCAGCGACGCCGCGUGAGCGAAGAAGUACCUCGGUAUGUAAAGCUCUAUCAGCAGGGAAGAAAGUGACAGUACCUGACUAAGAAGCCCCGGCUAACUACGUGCCAGCAGCCGCGGUAAUACGUAGGGGGCAAGCGUUAUCCGGAUUCACUGGGCGUAAAGGGAGCGCAGGCGGCGCGGCAAGUCUGAUGUGAAAGCCCGGGGCUCAACCCCGGGUCUGCAUUGGAAACUGUCGAGCUAGAGUGUCGGAGGGGUAAGCGGAAUUCCUAGUGUAGCGGUGAAAUGCGUAGAUAUUAGGAGGAACACCAGUGGCGAAGGCGGCUUACUGGACGAUGACUGACGCUGAGGCUCGAAAGCGUGGGGAGCAAACAGGAUUAGAUACCCGAGUA